GGGCUGUAGCUCAAUUGGUAGAGCGCUUGAAUGGCAUUCAAGAGGUCAGGAGUUCGAUUCUCCUCAGCUCC
rnacentral:tRNA from 1 species